GAUGAAGAACGUAGCGAAAUGCGAUAAGUAAUGUGAAUUGCAGAAUUCCGUGAAUCAUCGAAUCUUUGAACGCACAUUGCGCCCGCUAGUAUUCUGGCGGGCAUGCCUGUCCGAGCGUCAUUUCAACCCUCAAGCCCCCGGGCUUGGUGUUGGGGAUCGGCGAGCCUCCGCGCCCGCCGUCCCCUAAAUCUAGUGGCGGUCUCGCUGUAGCUUCCUCUGCGUAGUAGCACACCUCGCACUGGGAAACAGCGCGGCCACGCCGUUAAACCCCCAACUUCUGAACGUUUGACCUCGGAUCAGGUAGGAAUACCCGCUGAACUUAAGCAUAUCAAUAAGCGGAGGA
rnacentral:misc_RNA from 1 species